GUGUCUUUCCCUCCUCUGGCUGCUUAGUCAUCUCCCAAGUCAUUUGGCAGUUGUCUGUGGCCCCUUCAAAAUGUUUCCAUUUAUGGUUAGAAUUUGGUCUUCCCAGUUUGGUCACACAGAUGGGAAAACUUAAAUGAAAGACAGCAUCACAGAGCUUCUCUCAAGAGCAGGCAGAGGAAGAGGCUGGAGCUGGUAGCAGAAGGGGCUCCACGGUGACUGUGACCAAACAGACCACAGCACUGCUGAGGGGGUGGCCAGGGGAAGGGCCCACCGCCCACCAGGAGGUCUGCCUGCGGCUCUGCUCCUCCCUGGCACACAUCAUGGACUCCCAUUAUACAUGGAACACGUGCCUGGUGGGGAUCGAUGCCACCAUGGGGCCUGGGAUUAUUUGCAUCUUUGCUGGAAAGAGCCUUCACACCAACAUGAAACUUCAAGGACGCUAGAACGUCAGCGCCUGCCUGAGCGCCCCCAUCCUUCAGUGUGUCUGUGGACAGGGCUUGCGGUUCUAUGAAGAUAUGGCAGAAAGUAUUUUGGAGGAGAAAAGCAAUCCAGAACUGUCUGCAGGUCCUGCUGCCAUGGCCCUCUUCACUGGAUGCUGGCUCUUCAACCACAUAUGUAAACUCAGGGUAAAUCUUUCUCCCUUCAUCUGGCUGUGAAGGAAUUCUGACAGAAGCGUACCUCUCGGACAGGGUCCAUCUCAGCUCUAACAUGCCUGAAAGCAGUGAACCGCUUAAACAGAGACUUCCUUCAAAAACACUGAAUAAAGAAAAUCCCUGGACUUAAUAAAAAUUGCUGCCAUUCGAAAACAAAGAGACACGAGGUGCUGGUUCAUGUCCUUCAUCAGGCAGAUGCCAAGAUAGGAUUAGCUGUGCAGAUGUCAUGGGGAAACAUCUGUGAAAGACAAAGGGGAGGGAGCUGGGAAGGCAUGGGGGAGAAAGGAGGAUGGGCAGGAAGUCUGGGACUGCUGCACAGGCCAUGGAAGGUUCUGGAGCCCAAGUCACCCCUUCGUGGCGUCCUGUGUGUUGCAGGAGUGACCUGCGUUAGUGUCCCCCCAGCUGAGUCUUGGGCAGGAGCAUCUCCUGUGAAGUGUGGCCCACGUGCACAUGGUGGUCCAAGAAGGGCACCACUGGGGCUGUCACUCACCUCUG